rnacentral:tRNA from 1 species
GGGGGGAUAGCUCAGUGGUAGAGCACAUGCUUAGCAUGCACAGGGUCCUGGGCUCAAUUCCCAGUACCUCCA